rnacentral:rRNA from 1 species
CACGUAGGAGGCAAACGUUAUCCGGAUUUAUUGGGUUUAAAGGGUGCGUAGGCGGAAGAAUAAGUCAGUGGUGAAAGUUUGCAGCUCAACUGUAAAAUUGCCGUUGAAACUGUUUUUCUUGAGUGUGGUCAAGGAAGGCGGAAUGUGUAAUGUAGCGGUGAAAUGCUUAGAUAUUACACAGAACACCAAUUGCGAAGGCAGCUUUCUGGAGCGCAACUGACGCUGAGGCACGAAAGCGUGGGGAUCGAACAGG